rnacentral:rRNA from 1 species
AAUGAACGUCGGUGGCAGGCCUAACACAUGCAAGUCGAACGGGUCCUUCGGGACUAGUGGCGGACGGGUGAGUAACGCGUGGGAACGUGCCCCUUGGUACGGAAUAGCCCCGGGAAACUGGGAGUAAUACCGUAUGUGGUCGAGAGACGAAAGAUUUAUCGCCAAGGGAUCGGCCCACGUUGGAUUAGGUAGUUGGUGGGGUAAUGGCCUACCAAGCCGACGAUCCAUAGCUGGUUUGAGAGGAUGAUCAGCCACACUGGGACUGAGACACGGCCCAGACUCCUACGGGAGGCAGCAGUGGGGAAUCUUAGACAAUGGGGGAAACCCUGAUCUAGCCAUGCCGCGUGAUCGAUGAAGGCCUUAGGGUUGUAAAGAUCUUUCAGGUGGGAAGAUAAUGACUGUACCACCAGAAGAAGCCCCGGCUAACUCCGUGCCAGCCGCCGCCGUAA